AACGAACGCUGGCGGCAUGCCUAACACAUGCAAGUCGAACGAAGGCUUCGGCCUUAGUGGCGCACGGGUGCGUAACGCGUGGGAAUCUGCCCUUUGCUUCGGAAUAACAGUUAGAAAUGACUGCUAAUACCGGAUGAUGUCGCAAGACCAAAGAUUUAUCGGCAAAGGAUGAGCCCGCGUAGGAUUAGCUAGUUGGUGGGGUAAAGGCCUACCAAGGCGACGAUCCUUAGCUGGUCUGAGAGGAUGAUCAGCCACACUGGGACUGAGACACGGCCCAGACUCCUACGGGAAGCAGCAGUGGGGAAUAUUGGACAAUGGGCGAAAGCCUGAUCCAGCAAUGCCGCGUGAGUGAUGAAGGCCUUGGGGUUGUAAAGCUCUUUUACCCGGGAUGAUAAUGACAGUACCGGGAGAAUAAGCACCGGCUAACUCCGUG
rnacentral:rRNA from 1 species